UUAAGACAACCACCAAUGUAUAUAUUGUUUAAUUUCCCUCUCCAGAGUUUUUCACUCAUAUGAAGACGUCACCAUUGCCAGUGAAGGGCUGCAAAAUUUAGGCCUAUGCUCCGCGCUUACGGCCUUUGAGCAGGGAGGGAUCAUUAUUGUGCCACACCUGCAGUGACACGGGGCCUCGGUUUUGCCGUUUCUUCCGAAGGACCAACCCAUUUAGUUGCCUCUUACAACAAGCAAGAGGCAAUGGUGGCGUCUCCGUAUGAGUGAAAAAUAAAUCCUUGUGUGAGGCAUUAAACAAUAUACAACCAGCCAACCAAAAUAUCAGGGGCGUUCAAUGGAGCAAAGGGCAAUAACUCUGACCUUCCAAUGUUGAUUGCAGAUGUUGCUAUUUCAAAUGUGUGGGAAGUUCCCAGGUAUCCUCCGCUAGCGACAGUCUGCUGGCAAAUCCAGACAUACAUUGGAAGGAUGACGAUGUGGAGGACACAAGGACACCUGAUCCAAGAACUGUGGCAUUUCAUUCGGAGCGACAACCU